rnacentral:piRNA from 1 species
UGACCUUAACCAGUUGGAUGCCUGAUC